UCUUCUCUCCACUACUACUGUCCCCCUCUCCACCUCUUCUCUCCACUACUACUGUCCACCUCUUCUCCACUUCUUCUCUCUCUGUGUCUCCCUUGUUCAUCUUGUCAGGUCAGUGUGGAUGUGAGAUGGGUUGUGGAUAUUCCUCAACGACCAGCACGGCUGGAGGAGGUCCAGCCGAAGCCUCCAAAGAAGAAGUCACAGAGGAGUCUGCACAACAAGAAGAAAAAAGGAUGAACUAUGGAGGUGUGUAUGUGGGACUACCAGCAGACCUGAGCAUUAUGCCUCCUAUCCAGAUGGGAACACACCAAGAUGAGUGAAGCAUCAUUGAAACACCUUUCACUAAAGGUAUAAUGCCAACAGCCCCGAUCUCAAAAGCAGAUGUCAAUAUCCUAUGUUAAACUCUCUGCCUCAAUCUCAGAAGUUCAUCUUUUGGGACUCUCACACCCACUACAGAGAGAGAGAGAGAGAACCUUCAGGAUAAUGAUGAUUUCAGCUAGAAUGAAGGAAUGAAUUGUUCUCUUUGAUCUCUGAUUGGCUCCAUGGGACCCAGUAGAACCCCUGGAGGACCAAUCAUCUCCCUCUCUCGCGCCAUAGGAACUGAACUGGGAUCAGUUUAUAAGGUGAGUAAUCAGACAAUGGGUCAUAUGCUCACCAUGGAUGUGACUGCUCAGGAAUCAGCAUUGUGUUUAAUAGGCACAAAACAGAAGAAAAAAGUCUAAAACUAAAUGAAAGGGAGAGGUACUUGUCCAAUAAGAAAUACUUGUUUUCAUUUGGGUUACACAAAAUUUGAAAACAGGCACCCUAAUGAACACGACCCAGGUCAAAGGGCAUCACGGAUGUUGGAGUCGGCAUUCACCACUCAGGAUCAUGAGACAAGACAACCUUCUACUCAGAACUAAAUGUCAGACGGGAUCAGAUAGGCCUAUUCAGAUCUCAGCAAUACCAGGAAACAAAACAAGACCUCUCUCAGAACUCCUAUUCAAAUAUUUCUUGAUUUUCUCUCUCUGUCUCUCAGUCAAUAGUUCUCAGAAAUUCUCUCAAUAGGAGCUGGAUCAAAUGUUCCCCAUUUUAUCAUUGGUCGAAUAGAGAAGAAUCUUUCUUCACUCAAUAUGUAGCAUAUGUAUUUGGAGCAUCAAUAUGUAACAUAUGUAUUUGGAGCAUCAAUAUGUAGCAUAUGUAUUUGGAGCAUCAAUAUGUAGCAUAUGUAUUUGGAGCAUCAAUAUGUAACAUAUGUAUUUGGAGCAUCAAUAUGUAACAUAUGUAUUUGGAGCAUCAAUAUGUAACAUAUGUAUUUGGAGCAUCAAUAUGUAGCAUAUGUAUUUGGAGCAUCAAUAUGUAACAUAUGUAUUUGGAGCAUCAAUAUGUAACAUAUGUAUUUGGAGCAUCAAUAUGUAGCAUAUGUAUUUGGAGCAUCAAUAUGUAGCAUAUGUAUUUGGAGCAUCAAUAUGUAACAUAUGUAUUUGGAGCAUCAAUAUGUAGCAUAUGUAUUUGGAGCAUCAAUAUGUAGCAUAUGUAUUUGGAGCAUCAAUAUGUAGCAUAUGUAUUUGGAGCAUCAAUAUGUAGCAUAUGUAUUUGGAGCAUCAAUAUGUAGCAUAUGUAUUUGGAGCAUCAAUAUGUAGCAUAUGUAUUUGGAGCAUCAAUAUGUAGCAUAUGUAUUUGGAGCAUCCACGUUUUCUUUUCUUGAAUGUAUUCCAACAUGUUAAAUAUUUUCACAACAUAGUUUCCACAUUCUUAAA